GAUGAACGCUGGCGGCGUGCCUAAUACAUGCAAGUCGAGCGAACAGAUAAGGAGCUUGCUCCUUUGACGUUAGCGGCGGACGGGUGAGUAACACGUGGAUAACCUACCUAUAAGACUGGGAUAACUUCGGGAAACCGGAGCUAAUACCGGAUAACAUAUUGAACCGCAUGGUUCAAUAGUGAAAGGCGGCUUUGCUGUCACUUAUAGAUGGAUCCGCGCCGGAUUAGCUAGUUGGUAAGGUAACGGCUUACCAAGGCAACGAUACGUAGCCGACCUGAGAGGGUGAUCGGCCACACUGGAACUGAGACACGGUCCAGACUCCUACGGGAGGCAGCAGUAGGGAAUCUUCCGCAAUGGGCGAAAGCCUGACGGAGCAACGCCGCGUGAGUGAUGAAGGUCUUCGGAUCGUAAAACUCUGUUAUCAGGGAAGAACAAAUGUGUAAGUAACUGUGCACAUCUUGACGGUACCUGAUCAGAAAGCCACGGCUAACUACGUG
rnacentral:rRNA from 1 species